CAUGGGAGAUCCAUAUAUAUUUGUCAGAAAACAUCUGGGCUUCUGCACUAUCUAGUUGAGAUUUUUAGAAACAGUUUAGGAGUUGACUUUCUGGCCAGGCGCGGUGCCUCAUGCCUGUAACCCUAGCACUUUGGGAGGCCGUGGUGGGUGGAUCGCUUGAAGUCAGGAGUUUGAGACCAGCCUGGCCAACAUGGCGAAACCCUGUCUCUACUUAAAAAGAAAAAGUUAGCUGGGUGUGGUGGUGGAUGCCUGUAAUCCCAGCUACUCAGGAGGCUGAGGCAGGAGAAUCGCUUGAACCCCAGAGGUGAGGUUGCAGUGAGCCGAGAUCGCACCACUGCACUCCAGCCUUGGGCGACAGAGUGAAACUCUAUCUCAAAAAAACAAAACAAAACAAAAAAAAACAACUUUAUUUUCCUCUGCAGAGAUUUGUGUUCUGGGACAUACUGCUUUCCGUGUAUUCUGGAAAGAGAAAGGAGACCUGAAUCUAGGAGUGGAAACAGUGUGGGAGCUCUGCCAAAGAUCCACAGAAGGGAUCUGUUUCCUCAGCAGCUGCCAAGCUCCUCACGCUGAAUCGUAUGGAAGCAUUCAUACGUUUCAUGGACUUUCCCAAGAUCACCCAAGAAGUCAGAAUCCUCCAAGCUGGAGCCUGACUAGAAGCUCUAUCUCCUACAACUACACAAGUCACAACGCAGCCCCUUUGCUCCAGAAGAAAAGGAGUAAGCACAGAGGGCUUCUGAGUCUGGCAAUGCUCCAUUUCCUGACAGGAGCAUUUUACAGACUGCGUCUGCCCUCUGAGGGAGGCAGAGCCGUCAGCUAACACUCAGAGACAAGGAUGCUCUUACGACAUCCUGAUCCGGGAGGAAGAGGUGAAGGCAACUCACCACCCUCAGGCAUCUUACAGAAAACAGUGGAACUAAGGCUCAUUCUAAGGAAUGUGCCCAAGAUCACACACUGUAGGCUGCAAAGCGAGAGUCAAACUUUGAACCCUGAACCUGCACUUGUCCCUGUACACUGCCCUGCAGCCUAGAUGCAAUGGCUGGGCAGGGGAAAUACCAAACCUGGGGAUAAAAUGCCUACCUGCUUUCUUGUGUGUCAACCUCAGCUACAGAAAGGAGAGGGCAUCUUUCUAACACAUCAGUGUAGGGUUCUAAAAACAGAAGCUAAUAGAGGCAAAGCUAUCAAGAGAGGCCUGGCAGAGCCUCGUGUUUGCCUGGUGGGAGGACCUGUAUGUUGUGAGCUAGAGUGCCUGCCUGGCCAAGGACCCCAUCUGGCCUAGGCCCAAGUGCACCCACAAGUUGGAUCCACUGCUACAAAAGUGGCCAAGCCUGAGGAGAGUAGCAGUGUCACCUGAUUUCACAUUCCCAAGAUGUCACCUGAGAAUUAAAGGGUCGAGAUGGUAGCUGGGUGAGGGGGCUCAUGCCUGUAAUCCCAGCACAUUGGGAGGCCAAGGUGGGAGGAUCACUUAAGCUCAGGAGUUCAAUCACCUGAGGUCAGGGUUCUCUUAAAAAAAAAAAAAAAAAA
rnacentral:lncRNA from 1 species